rnacentral:ncRNA from 1 species
UGGCUUGGUCGAAAGAUCUUGGGCCGCCGUAGACGGGGACAUCUCUC